AACUAACGCUGGCGGCGCGUCUUAAACAUGCAAGUCGAACGGUAGUCCUUGAGCUUGCUUAGGGAUGAGAGUGGCGAACGGGUGAGUAACACGUGGAUAAUCUGCCUCCGGGUUGGGGAUAACUGUCCGAAAGGAUAGCUAAUACCGAAUAAGAUGGUAGCUAUGCAGAUAGCAGUCAUUAAAGGUGGGGACCGCAAGGCCUACCGCCUGGAGAUGAGUCCGCGGCUGAUUAGCUUGUUGGUGGGGUAACGGCCUACCAAGGCGACGAUCAGUAGCCGGCCUGAGAGGGUGAACGGCCACAUUGGGACUGAGAUACGGCCCAGACUCCUACGGGAGGCAGCAGUUAAGAAUCUUGCACAAUGGGCGCAAGCCUGAUGCAGCGACGCCGCGUGAAUGAUGAAGGCUUUAGGGUUGUAAAGUUCGAUAAG
rnacentral:rRNA from 1 species